UAUCGACGUGCACGUGUACAGCCGCAUCGGCCCCACACGCACAGCCGGCGUCAUACGCAUAGACAUAGACUCGCACGCCUUACGCAUAGAGGAGAGCCCAACCACUCGUGUGCGCGAGACUCGUGCGGAUUACAACCCUCUGGAGCUGUUCUCCCCCUCCCCCUCCCCCCACUCUACUGCCCCCCCCCUCUUCCUCCCCGUGCGCAUGUCAGCUCACGCCGAGUUCGCCGAGCGCCUAAAGGCGCUUUUCACGACGGAGCUGCGGCGCCAAGGCAUCGCCGACACGGAGGGCUGGGCAGAGAAGCUGAACACCUACUGCAGCUACGUGCCCGCGACCUCUGCCGAUGACCGCAGCAGCGGCGCUGGCGAUCGGCAAAGGACGUCGCCGUCGACGGUGCUGGUGAUCGACAUGACCAACCUCGAGGUGGGCGACAAGCCUGUCGUGGCGCUUAGCGAGUCCCUUCUGAAGAUGGAGGGGCCUUCGUGGCGAGGACGCUUCGCCGACGUGAGUGAGUGGCAGGUUCUUUGGCGGCGGUGCGCUCUAACAGACCGUGUCGUGCGCCAUCUCGAGCUUCUCCUGCUGGGGUGCCAACGGCUCACGCUGUUGGACGUGUCGGCGAAUGCCUUAUCGACGGAGGGGCAGGCGAGUCUGCUGCACGCCGCCGCGGAGGUGCCGUGUGACGUGGUGAUUGCCGAAGAUGCGCGCGCCACGCACAGCGGAAGUCGGACGCGCGAGACCAGCGCCCCGUCCUCCUCGCUCUGCACCCCCUUUCCACGCGAGUUUGCCGAGCGCCAGCGCCACAGCCAGACGAGCGGCCAUCACAGACGCAGCGGCGGCGAUGGCAACGCAGCCGAAGGCACCCGCAUCGCCAGUCACGGCGCCAUCGAACAGCAGCGCAGCAGUGGAGCGCGGCGCCAAUCCACGUCGCCGUCGGGACAAGCAGCGACUCCGCGCCCGCUGCGCCAGCUAUCACCGCCUUUCAGCGGAGCCUCCGCCUCCGCCUCGCCAUCGCUGCGCAGCUACGCGAGCGGCAGUGCCGAAGCUCUGCAGAAGCGCCGUGAGGAGCUUUUUGGCCGCUCCAACACCGCCGCACCAGCGAUAGCAACGGUACCGCCGACCGCAGCCACCGCCUCAGCAAGGGACAUGUCGACGCCGACAAGAAGUGUGGACAUGAAGAAAGGCGUCAGCACUGGCAGCACCACCACAAGCGAUGGCAUUGUUGAGUUCGAGGCGGUGCCGUCGACGGCGACGGGCUCCCCCGCGGCGGCCGAGCGGCCACACCCGCAGCGGCGGCCUGCGGAGGAGGGCACCCGCACCGGCGGCAGUCAUUCGCCGUUUGCCGCCGCCACCGCCACCGCCACAAAAGGGCAGCCGUCUGCCCAUCGCACCGGCGGCGCGCAUGUGGCCUCUACCCCAGCCAAGGCGGACGCUGCAUCGCGGGAGCCCUUCGUAGACCGCAACGAUCAGAUCGACUUGACCGCGAACCUCAGCCCGGUGCUGGAUAGCGUUCUGGACCUCUCUGCCCUCAUGACCCGCGACGGCGCACUACGUGAGGCACGCAUGUUCGGAGGUGCUCUAACUGUGUGGGAUGUGCUCGAGGCUUACAAGAGUGCCGCGGAGCAGCAGCUGCACGGGUCCGUCUCGCACGGCGGCGAGGCCAGCGUGGAUGCAGCAACGAGCGCGAAGCUGCCGUCUGCGCUGCUGGGCGGGACGACGUACAACGCUAUAACGGUCCUUAACCUGAGUCGCAAUCAUCUCACCGCCCUCUGCGCGCUGCCGGCGACGCUGCUGCGCCUUGACGUCAGCGUCAACAACCUGACGGAGCUGAGCGGGCUGCAGGGGUGUAAGAUGUUGACAGUGCUGAACGCGCGCCGCAACCGUUUGCGCUCCAUCAGCGGGCUCGAGAAGAACCUCAGCGUGGCGCAUCUCUUCCUGGGUCACAACGGCAUCACUGCGGUCGAGGGCGUCGCCCACCUCGUCCUUCUCGAGACACUCGACCUCACGUACAACGAGCUACGCACCUGGGCGUCGCUCCGGAUGCUGUCGCUGUGCUCGGCCCUGCGACACCUGCUGCUGCGCGGCAACCCUAUCAUGGAGUCGGGCAAGCCGGGCUUCAUGGCCGUGUUGCGCAACCUCUGCCCCACCCUGCUCGUCGUCGAUGAGCACCGCAUGGCGAACUCGUGUCUGGCAGACAGGGCCCUUGCACAGCGCAGCUGGGGUCGACAGCCGAACAUGAUCAACAACACGCAGCCGUACGCGCGCACAGAGACGCUUCGUGUCGGCAGCGGUGCUGGUGCAUCGCCGUCGCUGCUUUCACACGCGGCCAAGGCCGGUAGCAGCGCCUCUGUUGACGGCUCUACCAUGUCGUCGGUCGCGUUCACGUCGUCGAGACGGCGGGAGGGCAGUCGGCCGGCACCGUUUGCCGCCGGGGACGAGGAUGUUGCGGAUGAGCGGUCGAUGAAUCUCCUGCACAUGCUAACGCGCGGGGUGACGGCUCCGACGGGCUACGGCGACUCUGUACGCAGCCAACACGCAGCCCAGCAGCUGGCGCAGACGCGGAGGGAGAAGGAGGCGCAGGCGCAGGCGGUGCGGGAGCGGCGACUGACUUCCAACGGGCGGCUGCUGCGAGGAGCAGUUGUGAAACAGCUGGCCGAGGAGUCACGCAAGUACCUCGAGGACACCAUCGUGCGCCGCAUGACGACAGCGCAACAACAACAUCUGCAAGGGAACCACAGUGCUCUGCCCGACGCUGGCGGUGGUAGCAGCGAUGCAGCCGGUGUGACCGCGAGCAACCUGAUGGCUCGCCAUGGUUCGGUGGAGCGCAACGCCUACGGCGGCGUGGCACACCCGGAGCGGAUGGAGAACCCGAUGGCAGACGUGAUGGGGUACACGGCCGCCUCGCCGGAGAAGCGACAGCGCGCGUCGACGGAGGGCGGCGUGCAGGACAAGACGGAUGCUGAACUCCUCCGCCGAUACAAGCCACGCGCAGCGCGGCUGCGACGUGAUCCAUCAGCGAAGCCACCGCAGUCGCUGGCCGCGGAAGCCUCGGCAGGCCCACCAUCGCAACAGCAGCAGCAGGCGCUGCAGCGCCGCACUGCGAGUGCUGGUCGCGCGCCAAGCCCGGCUUCCAACGGUGGUGGUGUUCACCACGGCCGAGCUGUGGUGACUCGGGGACAGUCGGCAAGGCGCACACACCGCGACGGCGAUGACGCUGCGCUGGCGGCACUCUACGCAGGCGACGCAAGAGGGCGUUUCUCGGGAGAAGCCGCACGAGGCGCCAGCGGCUCUUACGCGGCGCUGCACGUCGCGGAUCAGCGUCAGCCGCGUGCCCAGGAAGAUGCGGAGAUUGAGUGCUCGCCCAUCUCCAAGGAUCCACAAGCGCGGGUAGUAGCGUCGUUGAACACCACCGCAUCCAUCAUCCACGAUGAUGCCCAGCCCUACCGUGUGAACGAUCCGCCGCACUCUGCUCACCUGCGAAUGCCACCGAAAUCGAUUCGGAGGCAUCCGAGCCCUACCGCACAAGCGCACCGCUACCCCACACCGCAGGACUACAGAGAGCCGGCCGAGGUGGAUGUGACGGCUAUCUACCCACGGAGCCGCAGCCAGAGAAGCCCCUCACCCGGUGUCGGUGGUGAAACGCAGAAAGGACAGCGGCAGCGCUAUCAGCGCAUGCCUUCGCGCAGGAAUGCGUCCGCGUCGAAGCCGUCGAGUCAGUCGAGGUCGACCUCCGCCGCUGCAGUCGCAUCGAGCGCUGCACGCAGUAGCAGCGUUGGUGGCAGAGGGGCGGAGAGCGGCGCCGCUGCACCGUUGGUGGCAUCGUCUGCGGGUGCGAGAAGCCCUUCCUUGCGACCGGUGCACAUCGACGACGCUCAGCGUGCGCGCGUGAGGGGGUGGGUGCAGCAGCUCCACGACGACACAGAUGCGCUGCAAGACGCGUUGCAGACCAUCGUCGACCUCCUUGAGGCGCAGCGGCAGAAACGCAUGCCCGUGCCCGAGUCGAGCCGUGAGCUGCCACCGACGUACCUACAGGAGCGGCGCCGGUGCGUGCAGAUCAUCCAGGACAGCGGCAUGUUGCAGGACACAUAUGUGCCGAUGGACGUGGUCGUCUACUACGGCUUCAGCAAGGCUGAGCUCGAAGGUCAGACGGAUCGCAGCAUGCAAGUUGUCGCCCGUCGUGGCGGAAACACGGAGGCCGACGAGCGGGCUUGGGCGCGCGAGGUGGCGGAGCGCUCCGACGUGCUGCGGCAGGUACACCUCAUGGGAGACGCGAAGACGUGCCUGCGAUACGUGGCGCUGCUCGUCGGCGACGGCCGCGAAAAGCUACUGCAGCAGUACGUGGAUCAGUUGAAAGAGAGCCUGCGUAGCGUCUAGCGCUGCAGCUGUCGUAGCGCCGACUCCCCUCAGAGUCCGGCGACACACAGAUGUGCAUUACAGGCUCCAGAUGCAUGUGAUCACGCCUGGAGACAACUCUACGCAGUCAUAGAAACUCGCGCAUCAGCGAACAAGCAU
rnacentral:misc_RNA from 1 species